GCCGGAGUGGCCGAGUGGUUCUAGGCGUUGCAGUCUGUAACGCUACGGUCGCAGGUUCGAAUCCUGCCUCCGGCA